rnacentral:rRNA from 1 species
UUUAUUGGAGAGUUUGAUCCUGGCUCAGGAUGAACGCUGGCGGCGUGCCUAAUACAUGCAAGUCGAGCGAAUGGAUUGAGAGCUUGCUCUCAAGAAGUUAGCGGCGGACGGGUGAGUAACACGUGGGUAACCUGCCCAUAAGACUGGGAUAACUCCGGGAAACCGGGGCUAAUACCGGAUAACAUUUUGAACUGCAUGGUUCGAAAUUGAAAGGCGGCUUCGGCUGUCACUUAUGGAUGGACCCGCGUCGCAUUAGCUAGUUGGUGAGGUAACGGCUCACCAAGGCAACGAUGCGUAGCCGACCUGAGAGGGUGAUCGGCCACACUGGGACU